rnacentral:rRNA from 1 species
AUUGAACGCUGGCGGCAGGCCUAACACAUGCAAGUCGAACGAGUGGAGGACGGGUGAGUAAUGUCUGUGAAAUUCCCCGCUGGAGGGGGAUAACUACUGAAACCGGUAGCAAUUCCCGCUAUCCAUCGGAUGUGCGCCGAUGGGAUUAGCUAGUAGGUGGGGUAAAGGUUCACUGAGGCGACGAUCCCUAGCUGGUGUGAGGGGAUGACCAGCGACACGGGAACGUAGCGACGGUCCAGACUCCGACGGGAGGCAGCAGUGGGGAAUAGUGCACAAUGGGCGCAAGCCUGAUGCAGCCAUGCCGCGUGUAUGAGUAAGGCCGUCAGGUUGUAAAGUACUUUCAGCGGGGAGGCGUUACCCGCAGAAGAAGCACCGGCUAACUACGUGCCAGCAGCCGCGGUAAUUC